AUGGUGGGCACUCUAAGGAGACUGCCGGUGACAAACCGGAGGAAGGUGGGGAUGACGUCAAGUCAUCAUGGCCCUUACGGCCUGGGCUACACACGUGCUACAAUGGUCGGUACAGAGGGUUGCCAAGCCGCGAGGUGGAGCUAAUCCCACAAAACCGAUCGUAGUCCGGAUCGCAGUCUGCAACUCGACUGCGUGAAGUCGGAAUCGCUAGUAAUCGCG
rnacentral:rRNA from 1 species